GAUGAACGCUAGCUACAGGCUUAACACAUGCAAGUCGAGGGGAAACGACAUCGAAAGCUUGCUUUUGAUGGGCGUCGACCGGCGCACGGGUGAGUAACGCGUAUCCAACCUGCCCACCACUUGGGGAUAACCUUGCGAAAGUAAGACUAAUACCCAAUGAUAUCUCUAGAAGACAUCUGAAGGAGAUUAAAGAUUUAUCGGUGAUGGAUGGGGAUGCGUCUGAUUAGCUUGUUGGCGGGGUAACGGCCCACCAAGGCGACGAUCAGUAGGGGUUCGGAGAGGAAGGUCCCCCACAUUGGGGCUGAGACACGGUCCAAACUCCUACGGGAGGCAGCAGUGAGGAAUAUUGGUCAAUGGGCGAGAGCCUGAACCAGCCAAGUAGCGUGCAGGAUGACGGCCCUAUGGGUUGUAAACUGCUUUUAUAAGGGAAUAAAGUGAGUCUCGUGAGACUUUUUGCAUGUACCUUAUGAAUAAGGACCGGCUAAUUCCGUGCCAGCCGCCGCGGUAA
rnacentral:rRNA from 1 species